AUGCGCUUGCUUUGCUGUAACCACAGCCCACUUUUCUUUCCGUAUCAGAGGAAAGCGCAUGAUCUUGUUUCCAAAGCUGACCUCUUAACUGGGGCCUUCAGUCCCCUCUGCAGCUUCCUCGUUCACAAGGUUCUGUCUCUCCAGGUCUACGCUCCUUUGCACAAACCCUUACACACGGUCUCCUCCACCUGUGCCCUGUGCGCACCACGCUGCCACACUCCCAGUUUCUUUCCCGAUGAAUGCAGGAGCAGUGCCCUGCACUUGACCACACCCCCUCCCCCAUUCCACUUCCCUGUCUCUUCCGGAGCCACAUGCUGCACCCUAGCCUCCACCGCCCCACCGGUCACUCGUGUGUGCCUCCCACAGCCCCAGUUCCGGUUCCUCUGCAGAACUGACCUCUCAGAGGUCACCCACGGCCACCCACGAGCAGAUCUCCCUUCCCCUCUGCCUUGGUCACUCCAUGUACAUGGCAUCCUGACCACCGACACCCCACGGCACUCCAACCGAGGCCCCCAUCACUGCCACCUGCUCCCGGCUGGGCUCUCUUCUGCGUGGCUUCUCACGGAUCCACUUGGUGGAGCCUUCAGGACCAGAGCUUGUUGGAAAUGCAGACUCCCGGGAUCCAGCGAGCCCUGGGGCGGUGCCCGGGGACCUUCCAGCAUGCGAGGUGGUGCUCCCGCCUCGGCUCCUCUCCCUCCACCCCCUGCACGUCCAUCAGGAACACGUGUCUCCACCACCCCCUGCACGUCCAUCAGGAACACGUGUCUCCACCGCGGUGGCUUCCAAUCCUUGCACUUCAACCACAGCUUUCUUCCAAACGUCAUUCUCAGAAGCCAGAUCUUCUCUUGGUUUUCGUUUCCUGGCCUCAGUAGCGCAGACCCAGGGUUCCUGCAACCUGCACCCAGCCAUUCCCCCAGCAGGCCAUGUCAGCACUGCGCUGGAAGCUGCUCGGGCACAGCUCCUGGGGUCACCCUCACCUCUCCCGGAUGCCCCCGGUUCCCCACAUCUGAUCAAACGCCAGCUCCGGGUCUUUGUUCUGCGAGACCCGGGCUCUCUGCUAUCUGGCCCCAGCGGCGGAGCAGACAGAGACCGGGAGGGGCUGAGCUGCUUUCCGGGCCUGCUCCACUACCUGCGACGCUCUCACCACCAAGGCUCCUCCCUAAGGCCUCUGCACACAGGAAGUGCCUGUACUCCCUCACAGGUGCUUGGGACGGAAACGGAAGCACAGGCCAGGCGGCCUCGGGGGCUGGUUUUCACAGCCUCGCCACCCACCCCUGCUCAGGGCCAGUGUUUCACAGCUUCUCGACAAGUUUCCGAUUCCAGCCCUCGAGUGACCCUCCCUGCCUCACUGCUAUCAAACCACGUCACUAA
rnacentral:lncRNA from 1 species